CUCUCUGUAUAGCUCAGUUGGUUAGAGCGCUGCACCGGAAUCGCAGGGCCGCAGGUUCGAUUCCUGUCAGAGGGC
rnacentral:tRNA from 1 species